UAUAUAAAAAAUAUUUGAAUUCAAAUUCAAAUUUGAAUCGGAUAUAAUUUAAAUUCAAAUUUGAAUCGGGUAUAUAAACUUUUAACUUAUAAACUUUGAGUCUAUAAACUUUUAAGUGUAUAAACUUAGAUGUAUAGAAAUACUAUAUAUAAAAAUAUUUGAAUUCAAAUUCAAAUUUAAAUCGGAUAUAUAAACUUUUGAUUUAUAAACUUUGGGUCACUAAACUUUAGAUGUGUAAACUUGAGGUGUACAAACUUUAGGUGUAUAAAUUUACUAAAAUAGAAAAGUAAUCCGGUGAGGGAGAGGGGAUCCGAAUCUGAUCGCUAGGGGAUAGAUCGCCCCUUAGCAAUCUCGCAUCUGAAUACCCAUGAAUCAAUUGUGGGCCCGCCCCGGAUUGAAGCCCACAAGAUGCAACGCGGCCCAAAGCUUGGCUCUCGUGAAGCCCAACAAGGCCCAAUGUUGAGAGACCCGGGUCCCAGCGCGGCAGCACCUCCGACUCGCCGUCGCCGGUGUUGGGUGGGUCGCGACGGCGUUCUCUCCCGCCGCCGCCGCCGGUGACCUCGUGCCCCCACCCGAUACUCCCCGGCAGCCGCUCGUGGACCAGAUCGACAGUGUCGCCUGAGAAGCCAACCCUACGGCUACAGCCACUGAGCCACCCUGACAUGAGGGCGAGCGCCGGGAGAACGGAGGAGAAAAAAAAAAGAGAAGAAAACCUCCGUUCCCGGCGACGGAGGAGGUCAGCGUCAGCGGCGGCGGCGUCGUUCCGAUGGCCGACGGGCCUGCCACGGACCCACGGUCUAAUGGAAUGUAUAUUCAGCUCUUUUGAGGAGGCUGGUGGUCUAGUUAACUUGUGUCCUCUCAAAAGGAAAAAUAAAAGAAAGAACAAAGAGCAGCUUUGAAUAGUUUAUGGCUACAACUACAAGGGUCAUGUGUGGUGCAACUUGGGCUGAAGACUGGGGUCUGGGGAUUCAGACUCAAGAUCCUGACGAUGAUGGAAUGGAUGACAAUCCCCUUUUAUGCGAUAGAAAGGUUCAGAUGGUCAGUUCUUUUAGUCGCAUUUUUCAUUAGGCUUUUUAUAUUAUUAACUUCUUAUUUGUACCAAAUACUAAAUUGUUCAAAUUUCAAAUGUUUGUCCCAAAAAACACCAGCUGGAUUGUUGACUGUGUGGUUUGCAUGCAUCAUUGGAAUCAAUCAAACAUUAGCAUCCAUUAAAAAA